GACGAACGCUGGCGGCGUGCUUAACACAUGCAAGUCGAACGAUGACGACCGAGCUUGCUCGGUCUGAUUAGUGGCGAACGGGUGAGUAACACGUGAGCAACCUGCCCUUCACUCUGGGAUAACCUCGGGAAAUCGGGGCUAAUACCGGAUAUGAGCUCCUGUCGCAUGGCGGGUGUUGGAAAGUUUUUCGGUGAAGGAUGGGCUCGCGGCCUAUCAGUUUGUUGGUGAGGUAGUGGCUCACCAAGGCGAUGACGGGUAGCCGGCCUGAGAGGGCGACCGGCCACACUGGGACUGAGACACGGCCCAGACUCCUACGGGAGGCAGCAGUGGGGAAUAUUGCACAAUGGGCGAAAGCCUGAUGCAGCGACGCCGCAUGAGGGAUGACGGCCUUCGGGUUGUAAACCUCUUUCAGCAGGGAAGAAGCGAAAGUGACGGUACCUGCAGAAGAAGCGCCGGCUAACUACGUG
rnacentral:rRNA from 1 species